rnacentral:lncRNA from 1 species
CACCAUCAUCUAAGUUCUACCAGCACAGCAUCCAGCCUUGAUUCCAGCAUCAAUCUCUGCAAUAAUGAUUAACAUAAAACUCUCAGAUAAAAUAACAGAAGUUUGGAAUUUAUUGCUCAAUCAAGUAUGAUUUUGACAGGCAUUUGUGGUAGAGAAUCAUUCACUGCUCAAUUUGUAGAAAUGUUAUAGGCCUCAUAAUGAAAACACAUGCCAGAAGGGUAAAACGCUAAAGAAUGCCUUAUUAGUUAAGGGAGAGAUCAGUGAUGGCCUGAAAUGAAAACUUCAAAAGCACCAUUGUCAGUGCCUUCCAAGUAGCCUCGUUCCACAGCACUAAUUCCCAAUGAUUAGCCAAGGCCCAUCACCCAUGUGGCCAUGUGCACAAAACAACCUAUCUAAGCCAAUUACUCUCUCCUCUCAGUAACUAAACAGUUUUUGUGAAUAAUUCUCAUG